UACGGUUACCUUGUUACGACUUAGUCCCAGUUACCGACCCCACCUUAGGCAGCUCCCUCCCCGAAGGGUUAGGCCACUGACUUUGGGUGUUGCCGACUUCCGUGACUUGACGGGCGGUGUGUACAAUCCCCGAGAACGUAUUCACCGCGGCUUUGCUGAUCCGCGAUUACUAGCGACUCCGGCUUCAUGAAGUCGAGUUGCAGACUUCAAUCCGAACUGGGGCCUGCUUUAAGGGAUUAGCUUCCUCUCGCGAGGUUGCAGCCCGUUGUACAGGCCAUUGUAGCAUGCGUGCAGCCCUGGAUAUAAGGGGCAUGAUGACUUGACGUCGUCCUCACCUUCCUCCGAGUUAUCCCCGGCAGUCUCCCAUGAGUCCCCGGCCGAACCGCUGGCAACAUAGGAUAAGGGUUGCGCUCGUUGCGGGACUUAACCCAACAUCUCACGACACGAGCUGACGACAGCCAUGCACCACCUGUCACGGGCCCUAAUGGACACUGUGUUUCCACAGCUUUUCCCGUGAUGUCAAACCCAGGUAAGGUUCUUCGGGUUGCAUCGAAUUAAGCCGCAUGCUCCGCCGCUUGUGCGGGGACCCGUCAAUUCCUUUGAGUUUUAGCCUUGCGGCCGUACUCCCCAGGCGGGAUGCUUAAUGCGUUAGCUUCGGCACGGCAGUCAUUGGUAGACCGCCACACCUAGCAUCCAACG
rnacentral:rRNA from 1 species